UACGUAGGAUGCAAGCGUUGUCCGGAUUUACUGGGCGUAAAGCGCACGUAGGCGGCUUUUUAAGUCAGGGGUGAAAUCCUGGAGCUCAACUCCAGAACUGCCUUUGAUACUGAGAAGCUUGAGUCCGGGAGAGGUGAGUGGAACUGCGAGUGUAGAGGUGAAAUUCGUAGAUAUUCGCAAGAACACCAGUGGCGAAGGCGGCUCACUGGCCCGGUACUGACGCUGAGGUGCGAAAGCGUGGGGAGCAAACAGG
rnacentral:rRNA from 1 species